GAAAGUGUACCCAUCAGAAAUUAACAGCUUGAGGAAUUUUCAUGAAGUGAACAAAUGGGCAAGCAGCGCUAGAUGGAGACACAGAACCACAGCGGCACCCCCAGGCCUCUGCCUGCACCCGCACAGUCACCUCUUCCCCAGGUGGGGCCAGGCGGUGGGCUCCAGCUGUGCAACUCUGAGCGAGUCCUGUCCCAGCUCUGCUCAUCCUCGCAUGUCCUGUCGGGACCCUCACCGCGCAGCACCCUGCCUGGGCCAGCUCCCAGUCCAGAGGAGAGCAGGGUGGGGCGAGCAGUCCUAGGAUCUGCGACUUCAGCAGCACUGCCGGGUUGACCCCGUGUCCUCACAGGGAGCUGCCCAGCACUCGGCAGCCUGAGCUGAGCUCAGCUUGGGAUCUGUGAGGACCUCAAACCAUCUUUCUUCAUGCACAAAAGCAGAAGCAUCCUACCUAUGCAAGGAGCUCAGGCCAGAGGGAAUGGAGCCGACAACACUGCUGCCCCUGCACAGAGGUGGGGGUGUGGUGGGAGACUGGGUCACAGGCUGACCAGCGGUGGAGAAUUUUCCACAGCAAACUCACUCACUCUGCCAGAGGAACUGCCCGGAAGAUUGGCCUAGGCUCUUCAAGCCUAGCUGACACACACUCCAGACUCCAGACUCCAUCAGAGGAACCAAUAUUCCCUUCAGGACAGAGGUGUACACUUUCCCCAAGAAUCAGGGCCACCUGUUCAGCUUUCACCCCGAAACCCAAUUGAUCUGCCUCUCGCUUUCCAGCUCCCCAUAGUGCUUCUCCAGCAGGACACAGGGACCCAGUACUGCAGCUUUAGCAGGAGCAGAGCCAGGCUGAGCCUGUGUUCAAAGGGGUGGGUUUAUCCGCUGUGCUAAGAGGGGACUGGUGCCCACGCCUGAGACCGUCUCACGUCUACAUAUCUAGACUGGUUAGCGAUGAGUGGGAUCACGGAAUGAGGUGCCAGUGUCACGACACUCCCAAGAAGCUGUCCUUCUGAGGUCCUAGCGUGGAUGACAAUUCUGUAGGAGGCGCUUGUGGUUUCCAAUUGACAUGGAAGCCCAUGACACUUAUGCCCCUUUCUUCUCUUUUGUAAAAUAGUAACUGAAUAACCACAAAGAGCUCAGCGCCCUGCUGGAAAGAGAGGCUCUAUGAUGCUCACCCAACCUUCUCCUAGGUCUGCGACUGCAGAAAAAGGAAAAGAUGCUUUUCUCACCUAAGUACUCGGUAGAAGGUGAUAAACCCAGGCAGGCAUUAUCCAUCAGAGUAGUCUUCCCCUGUGGCAUCUGCAUUAGAUUUUAUUAUCCACCCACCAGUCAUUCCAUACAUGUUCUUGAGCACUUACUGUAUACCAGGCUCUGGGCUAGGUACAGUCUUUUUUUUUUUUUUUUUUUUUUUUUUAAGAU